rnacentral:tRNA from 1 species
GUAGGGCAGGGCGACCACGGCGUGCCGGGCGGCGGCGGCCCGCUGCGUCCGCCACCCGGCGGACGUGUCGACCCGGUCGAUCCGGGCACCCCACG